rnacentral:rRNA from 1 species
UACGUAGGGGCUAGCGUUAUCCGGAUUUACUGGGCGUAAAGGGUGCGUAGGUGGUUUCUUAAGUCAGAGGUGAAAGGCUACGGCUCAACCGUAGUAAGCCUUUGAAACUGGGGAACUUGAGUGCAGGAGAGGAGAGUGGAAUUCCUAGUGUAGCGGUGAAAUGCGUAGAUAUUAGGAGGAACACCAGUUGCGAAGGCGGCUCUCUGGACUGUAACUGACACUGAGGCACGAAAGCAUGGGGAGCGAACAGGAUUAGAUACCCUGGUAGUCCCUGA